rnacentral:rRNA from 1 species
AGAGAUUCCUACGGGAGGCAGCAGUGGGGAAUAUUGCGCAAUGGGCGAAAGCCUGAUGCAGCGACGCCGCGUGAGGGAUGACGGCCUUCGGGUUGUAAACCUCUUUCAGCAGGGACGAAGCGAGAGUGACGGUACCUGCAGAAGAAGCACCGGCUAACUACGUGCCAGCAGCCGCGGUAAUAA